UAAGUGAGGCACUGGGCUUUGGGAAGGAGGUGUGAGGGCUCUGACUGGGUCCCAGAAUCCUCCCUCCUCCUUCCCCAGGCAUAGUUAGCGCUUUCCCAGCUUUGGGAAGAAGGUGGGAGUUCUAGGACCCUGUCAGGGCCUCAUGCCUCCUUCCCAAAGCCUUGCACCUUUCUUAU